CGGACGGGUGAGUAACACGUGGAUAACCUACCUAUAAGACUGGGAUAACUUCGGGAAACCGGAGCUAAUACCGGAUAAUAUAUUGAACCGCAUGGUUCAAUAGUGAAAGACGGCUUUGCUGUCACUUAUAGAUGGAUCCGCGCCGCAUUAGCUAGUUGGUAAGGUAACGGCUUACCAAGGCAACGAUGCGUAGCCGACCUGAGAGGGUGAUCGGCCACACUGGAACUGAGACACGGUCCAGACUCCUACGGGAGGCAGCAGUA
rnacentral:rRNA from 1 species